rnacentral:rRNA from 1 species
GACGAACGCUGGCGGCGUGCUUAACACAUGCAAGUCGAACGGAAAGGCCCUGCUUUUGUGGGGUGCUCGAGUGGCGAACGGGUGAGUAACACGUGAGUAACCUGCCCUUGACUUUGGGAUAACUUCAGGAAACUGGGGCUAAUACCGGAUAGGAGCUCCUGCUGCAUGGUGGGGGUUGGAAAGUUUCGGCGGUCGGGGAUGGACUCGCGGCUUAUCAGCUUGUUGGUGGGGUAGUGGCUUACCAAGGCUUUGACGGGUAGCCGGCCUGAGAGGGUGACCGGCCACAUUGGGACUGAGAUACGGCCCAGACUCCUACGGGAGGCAGCAGUGGGGAAUAUUGCACAAUGGGCGGAAGCCUGAUGCAGCAACGCCGCGUGCGGGAUGACGGCCUUCGGGUGGUAAACCGCUUUCGCCUGUGACGAAGCGUGAGUGACGGUAAUGGGGAAAGAAGCACCGGCUAACUACGU